CCUACGGGGGGCUGCAGUAGGGAAUAUUGGACAAUGGGCGAAAGCCUGAUCCAGCCAUGCCGCGUGAUAGAUGAAGGCCCUCUGGGUUGUAAAUAUCUUUUAUCUGGGCAGAAACAAUCUUAUUCUUAAGAUCUUGACGGUACCAGAGGAAUAAGCACCGGCUAACUCCGUGCCAGCAGCCGCGGUAAUACGGAGGGUGCAAGCGUUAUCCGGUUUCACUGGGUUGUAGGGGUGCUGAUACGGGAGGGGUGAAAGCUCCGGGCUUAACUUGGAAACUGCCAGUGAUACUGCCAGUCUUGAAUGUCGUAGAGGUAAGCGGAAUGUUGCAUGUAGCGGUGAAAUGCUUAGAUAUGUUACAGAACACCAAUUGCGAAGGCAGCUUACUAUGCGAUGAUUGACGCUGAGGCACGAAAGCGUGGGGAGCAAACAGGAUUAGAUACCCGUGUAGUC
rnacentral:rRNA from 1 species